rnacentral:rRNA from 1 species
UACGGGGGGGAGCAAGCGUUGUUCGGAUUUACUGGGCGUAAAGGGCGCGUAGGCGGCCAGCGCAAGUCAGUUGUGAAAUCUCCGGGCUUAACUCGGAACGGUCAACUGAUACUGCGCGGCUAGAGUGCAGAAGGGGCAACUGGAAUUCUCGGUGUAGCGGUGAAAUGCGUAGAUAUCGAGAGGAACACCUGCGGCGAAGGCGGGUUGCUGGGCUGACACUGACGCUGAGGAGCGAAAGCGUGGGGAGCGAACAGG